rnacentral:rRNA from 1 species
CUAGCUACAGGCUUAACACAUGCAAGUCGAGGGGCAGCAUGGUCUUAGCUUGCUAAGGCCGAUGGCGACCGGCGCACGGGUGAGUAACACGUAUCCAACCUGCCGUCUACUCUUGGACAGCCUUCUGAAAGGAAGAUUAAUACAAGAUGGCAUCAUGAGCCCGCAUGUUCACAUGAUUAAAGGUAUUCCGGUAGACGAUGGGGAUGCGUUCCAUUAGAUAGUAGGCGGGGUAACGGCCCACCUAGUCUUCGAUGGAUAGGGGUUCUGAGAGGAAGGUCCCCCACACUGGAACUGAGACACGGUCCAAACUCCUACGGGAGGCAGCAGUGAGGAAUAUUGGUCAAUGGGCGAGAGCCUGAACCAGCCAAGUAGCGUGAAGGAUGACUGCCCUAUGGGUUGUAAACUUCUUUUAUAAAGGAAUAAAGUCGGGUAUGUAUACCCGUUUGCAUGUACUUUAUGAAUAAGGAUCGGCUAACUCCGUGCCAGCAGCCGCGGUAAUACGGAGGAUCCGAGCGUUAUCCGGAUUUAUUGGGUUUAAAGGGAGCGUAGAUGGAUGUUUAAGUCAGUUGUGAAAGUUUGCGGCUCAACCGUAAAAUUGCAGUUGAUACUGGAUAUCUUGAGUGCAGUUGAGGCAGGCGGAAUUCGUGGUGUAGCGGUGAAAUGCUUAGAUAUCACGAAGAACUCCGAUUGCGAAGGCAGCCUGCUAAGCUGCAACUG